rnacentral:lncRNA from 1 species
AUGUAGAGAUUUGUAAUGGAGUAUGGGAAUAAUAUUCAAGAUUCAAUACAAUUUCCACAUUAGUCAGAUUAGUUUUUAUCACGUUAUCAGCACGACUAGACUCUUCACUACGAUUUGGCCGAUAAUCUACAAGCAAUCACAAGGAAUCGGUGUUUCAUAUCCCUGACAACAUCACCGAUUCGUUGCUUCGAUAUUCACAACAUUUUCUGUUCAUCACACCAGAGAUUUCUUUGGUAUAAUGAAGAAAUAUGUAUACCAGCUCCAGCAGAGCUAUUAUUGGUGAUGAAUGUCUGGUAGACAGCGGUAGUACUAACACUAUUCUCAAAGACAUGAAAUUUUUCUCUGAGUUGUCUCCGGCAGAGACACCGAUUAGUACUAUAUCUGGUGUCAGUAACCUUAUCGAAGGCUCCGGAAGAGCACACAUAACAUUAUCUUCGGGUACCCAAUUAACAAUUGAUAAUGCAUUAUAUUCUAGUAAAUCCAGAAGAAAUUUACUUAGCUUUAAAGAUAUUCGAAAAA